CCCUGGCUCUCUCCCUGAGUCCUAGAGAGCUGCCUUCAGUUCUGUGACUCAGGAAGCGCCAGGGAGAGAAGCAUGGCCUUUCCGGGAGGCCCCUGGCCCCUCUUCCCAGCUGUUUUUCCCCUCUUUGUCCUGGCCCUGGCACUCCCCAAGCAGGAAUUCAACUUGCCCAAAGCAGAGGAGAAUGACACUGCAGCCCUGGACCCAGGACAGCCAGCCAGCCACGAUGGCAUCGGUCACUCUCAACAGCUGGCAGUCGUUGACUCAUCUCCUCUCUGUGGGCCUUUGGAAGAACAGUUGCAAAAAGUGACUAAGCAGCUAUGGGAGCUGGGAGUCAGAGUGGCAGAACUUAGGGAGCAGAACCUGGACUUGCAGGCGAGGGUGAAGCAGCUGGAGUCCUGUGAGUGCCGCAGACCCCCUUGUACCUGGCAGGGGCAGGAGUGGCCAGUGGGAACCCGCUGGGAGCCGGACGCCUGUACUCAGUGUGUCUGCAUGGAAGGGGAGGUUCAGUGCUCCCUCAUCAGGGAUGUGGCCCACUGCCUCGGAUGCAGCCAUGGGGGCCGGACCUAUGGCAGUGGGGAGACCUUCUCUCCUGAUGCCUGCACCGCCUGUCACUGCCUGGAAGGAAAGGUGACAUGUAGCCAGCCGCUGUGUUCAUGGAAGCCCUGCCUAGACCUCAAGAGAUGCUGCCAGGGCUGUGAGCCAGAGCCUGAAGGCUACAUAAUCUGCCCCGAGAACCGAAAAGCUGGAGAAACAUGGUAUCCAGAGCCCUGUGUCAGCUGCACCUGCCAGGAUGGGACUGUUCAGUGCAUGGAGGCCUCGUGUCCAGAGCUCAGCUGCCUGGAGAGUUACGUCCCGCCAGGGCAGUGUUGUCCCAUCUGUAGGCCAGGCUGUGAGUAUGAGGGUCAGCAUCAGGAGGAGGGGGCAGCCUUCCUGUCCAGCUCCAACCCUUGCCUUAGCUGCACCUGCCUGAGGAGCCUGGUUCGCUGUGUGCCUAUGCAAUGCCCACCUAACCCCUGUCCUAACCCGGUCUCAAGACCUGGACACUGCUGCCCAAGCUGCCAAGUGUGUGUGUUCAAUGGAGAAGAGUUUGCCGAUGGGGUCCAGUGGCAGCUGGAAGGGCAGCCCUGCACUACCUGCUCCUGCCAACAGGGGAUUCCUGUGUGUGAGGCUGUGCCCUGCACCCCACCUCCUUGCCAGCAUCCCACUCAGUUCCCAGGUGCCUGCUGCCCUGGGUGUGAGAGCUGUACGUACCAGGGACACAUCUAUGCCAACGGGCAGAACUUCACAGACCCCAGCCACCCGUGUCACACCUGCCACUGUGAGAAUGGGACGGUCCUGUGUGCUCCAACUGACUGUCCACCCACCACCUGUGGCAGGCCCCAGAAAGCACCAGGCCAGUGCUGCCCCAAGUGUCUAGACUGUGUACUGGAGAAUCAGGUAUUUGUGGAUGGUGAGAGCUUCCUUCAUCCCCGGGAUCCAUGCCAAGAAUGCCAGUGUCAGGGCGGCUGGGCUCGAUGCCAGUCCCGUGCUUGCCCAGUGCCCCUCUGUGCCCACCCGCUUCCUGGCCCCUGCUGCAAGAGCAGAUGCAAUGGCUGUGACUUUGGGGGCAAAGAGUACCCCAAUGGAGCUGACUUCCCCCACCCUACGGAUCCAUGUAGGGUCUGCCACUGUAUUAAUGGGAAUGUGCAGUGCCUGACCCAACGGUGCCCGCCACUGCCUUGCCCAGAGCCUUUCUUACCUCUUGGAGAGUGUUGUCCACAGUGUCCAGUGCCCCCAGCUGAUUGCUUAGUUCCUGGGAUGCCCUCUGCCCGUCACCAACAACACUUCUCCCCACCUGGGGACCCAUGUCGCCGAUGCCUCUGUCUCAAUGGUUCAAUCUCCUGCCAGAGACUGCCUUGUGCCCCAGCAGUCUGCACUCAUCCCCUUCAGGGGGGCUGCUGCCCUUCCUGUGAUGGCUGCUUAUAUGAUGGAAAGGAGUUGCCCAAUGGGGAACAGUUCACUUCCCCAAUGUCCCCUUGUCAGGUCUGCCUCUGCUGGGAGGGAAGUGUCACCUGUGAGCCAAAGUCCUGUGCCCCUGCCCAGUGCCCCUUCCCUGCCCAAGGCUCCUGCUGCCCAGUCUGUGAUGGAUGUGAGUACCUGGGGCAGUCAUACCUGAGUGGCCAAGAAUUCCCAGAACCUGAAGAACCAUGUAGCCAUUGUACCUGCAUUGGGGGCUUUGUCUCCUGUGGCCGGAGACCCUGUGACCAGCCAAGCUGCAGCCAUCCACUCACCUUGCCUGGACAUUGCUGCCCAACCUGUGAUGGUUGCUUCUAUAAUGGAGUCACUGCUGCUUUAGGAGAAACCUUCCCAGAUCCCACUGACUCUGCUUGCUCUUUUUGUACCUGCCAAACAGGCUCUGUGCAGUGCCUGAAGAAGCCAUGCCCACCAGCUCUUUGCUCUCACCCCACCUCAGGGCUCUGUUCCUGCCCUAUCUGCCAAAGCUGCAGCUUUGAGGGGCAUGAGCAUCAGGAUGGAGAAGAGUUUGAAGGGCCAGUGGGAAGCUGUGAACAGUGUCACUGUCAGGCUGGGAAUGUGUACUGUGAGAGGGUACGAUGCCCCUCACUACCCUGUGCCCUCCAAGUGGCAGACCCUGGGACCUGCUGCCCCCGCUGUAGAGGAUGCCUGUCCCCAGAUGGGGAGCACCCUGAGGGAAGCAGCUGGACCCCUCCAGAAACUCCCUGCUCCUCCUGCAUGUGUCAUGAGGGCAUCAUCACCUGUGCCCACAUCCGCUGUGUCAGCUCCUGUGCCCAUCCCCAGCAGAGUUCUACAGAUUGCUGCCCACUCUGUGAUGAUUGUGUACAUGAAGGCCAGACAUAUGGACCGGGGGAGAGUUUCCAGCCAGGCAGCGACCCCUGUGAGGUCUGCAUCUGCGAGCUGUCACCAGAAGGCAUCCCACGCCUGCGUUGCUACCGGAGACACUGCCCCAGCUUGGUGGGCUGCCCUCCCAGUCAGCUCCUGCCCCCUGGUCCCCAGAAUUGCUGUCCAACAUGUGCCCAAGCCCUGAGGAACUGCACUGCUGGCCUGCUGGGGAGUGAGCUGACCCCACCAGACCCCUGUUACACAUGUCAUUGUCAGGACCUGACUUGGCUCUGUAUUCACCGAACCUGCCCCCAGCUCAGCUGCCCUCCUGCUGAGCACUACAUCGUCCCAGGGACCUGUUGCCCUACUUGCCGUGCCCCCAGCCCUUCCUGCUCCUAUAAGGGUCAUGCAGUGCCCUCAGGAGAGCACUGGGUGGUGGAUGAAUGCACCAGCUGCUCUUGCGUGGCAGGCGCUGUGCAGUGCCAUAGUCAGCACUGUUCCCCGAUUACCUGUGACCCUGAGGAAGCCCCUGUCCUGGAUCCGGGUCGCUGCUGUCCUCGCUGCCUCCCCCGCCCAGCUUCCUGCCUGGCCUUUGGGGACCCACACUAUCGUACCUUCGACGGCCGCCUGCUGCACUUUCAGGGAGCCUGCAGCUACGUGCUGACCAAAGACUGCCAAGGGGGAGACUUCAGCAUCCAUGUGACCAACGAUGACCGGGGUCGGAGAGGGGUGGCCUGGACCAAGGAGGUGACGGUGCUGUUAGGAGACUCGGUCAUUCGGCUUCUGCAGGACCAAGUGGUCAUGGUGGACGGACACACGGUAUCCCUGCCCUUCCUGAAGGAGCCCUUGCUCUACGUGGAACUGAGAGGAGGCACUGUGUUACUUCAUGCCCAGCUGGGGCUUAAGGUGCUGUGGAAUGGGCAGUCCCAGGUGGAGGUUACCUUGCCAGGCUCAUACCGAGGUCGAACCUGUGGGCUCUGUGGGAACUUUAAUGGCUUCACACAGGAUGAGCUGCAGGGCCCCUCGGGGCUGCUCCUGCCCUCUGAGGCUGCCUUUGGCAACAGCUGGCAGAUCCCAGAAGGGCCUGGGCUCAGCCAGCCAUGUGCCCCGGGCCGAGAAAUAGACCCAUGCCGAGCGGCAGGCUAUCGAGCCCGGCGUGAGGCCAAUGCUCGGUGUGCGGUGCUGAAGUCCUCAGCGUUCCAGCCCUGCCACAAGGCCGUGCCGCCUGAGCCCUUCUUUGCUGCUUGUGUCUAUGAUCUGUGUGCCUGCGGGACCGGCGCUUCUGCCGAGGGCUGCCUCUGCGAUGCCCUGGAAGCCUAUGCUACCCGCUGCCGCCGGGCCGGCGUCACUCCGGUCUGGCGAGGUCCCGCCCUCUGCGCCGUGGGCUGCCCCUCGGAGCGAGGCUUCCUCUUUGACGAAUGCGGCCCUCCCUGCCCGCGGACCUGCUACAACCGGCACGUACCUGUGGGUGAACUGGAAGGCCAUUGUAUACGGCCUUGUGUACCCGGCUGCCGGUGCCCGGCGGGGCUGCUGGAGCACGAAGCGCGCUGCAUCCCUCCCGAGUCCUGCCCAGCUGUCCUGCUUACCCGGGACCCCAAGCCUACCUCGGGGGGACCCCUCCAAGGGAAAAACUGAGGGUUGUGGGGAGCGGGCGAGGAACGGGGAGGGGGGCUCUCCUCCCAAUGGCAGGUACUCCUCUGGAGACGGAGAGGCGGGCCCCUUCUGCUCAGCUCCAUCCAUCUCCCUGCUUAAAGUGGCCCAGGGACUCGGCCAGGCCUGCUCAUCUUGGCCUAGAGAAGUGAAACGAGGGAGCUGCGGAAGAGGACGCCCCACCCAGGGACAAGGAAUAGGGGGCCGGUCCCCAGGGAGCCUGUUGCCUUUGUUUGAAACAUUAAAGCCGCCUGGACCCUUCUUUGCAGCUGCGUUCAUCUCUUGGUGAAGGUGCCAGCGCCUGGCGGUGUGCCCGGAGUGUGGGGAGCUCGGGGCCUCCACCCUUCCCACCAUACCCCCAAGAGACCCCUUUUCCUGAAGGAGGGCCUCCCAGGGCCUAGAGAUACGGAAAGCAGACGGAGAAAGUGCCUGGAGCCGGGUCGCUCUUCCCUCAUCCCUACCUCCUUUCCUCUGAGGAACUCUGGGGUCUACUCGACACCCUGGUGCGGAUGGGGAGCCGGAAGCUGAGCUAGGAGGCUAGAAGAUGGCUUAGCCUGACCCCCAGGUAGAAUGUGUAACCAGUGCAAGGGAGCUUUUGGCCUCGAGGACCCCAGAGGCAGUGUGGACAGCGGAAAGUCUAGCCUUGGAGUCAAGAAGCUACCUCGGAAACACUGUAUGCUGCGGUUAAGCCAUAACCUUGAUUGUCUUUCGUUUCCACGUCAUCAUCUCCUCCUUCUCCUUCUUCUUCCCCUUCCCUUCUGCCUUAGUAUCCAUUCUAAGACAGAAGAGCAGCAAGGGCUGGGUGACUGGGCUUAAGUGACUCACCCGGGGUCUCACAGCGAGGAAGCUGGAGAGGCCCCAUCUGAACCCAGGACCUGCCAACUCUUGGCCUGGCGCUCUCUCCACUGGGCUACUUGGCUGUCAGGAACUGCUAUUGCAUUUCAGCCCAGUCACCCUAACAAAGGUAUGCCAGGACGACUGCCCUCAAGAACUGAGGCUACCUUUGCUGCUGCUGGAGAUGGAGAAGAGACGACUCGAGCAGGAACAGGUAUGGGGCACAAAGGAAAGGCCCAAUCCCGUCUCCCAGCAUAGACAUCUUUCCCUUGUACCCCUCCAUCUUUCACCUUCCCUCAGGUUCUAUGGGACUUGGAACUGUUAGCUGGGGCUGGACUCAGCCUUUUCUGGCCACGCUGGGGACAGCCUCGGGGACUUUGGGAUGAAUCCAGGAGCUCGAAGAGUCAUAAUCAGGAACCUUCUACCUGGGUUGGUGAAGAGGAGCUGGUGAGUUGGGGGUGAGAAGAGAAGAGCUAGAUCAAGGAGAAGGAGGUGGCAGUCAUAGAAGAGGGACAGGGGAGGUUAGUGGCACAAGACCUAGGUCAGAAAAGGAGUUCCAAGUCUUGAAAUCUCUCAUGGAGAUGGAUGGUAAAAAUUCAGACACCAGGCUUGCAUCUCCUUAAAGUGCCAUUUCUCUACUUCUCAUCAGGACCAGGAGCCAGAAGGUCCUGUCCUAUUCCAGUCUUCCUUAAGUUCUUACCUCCAGGACUAAUAACAUAGAUGGUGAUUGGUCAUUUGUGGAGAUAGUGUAGACCACCUCAGAGUAGAGCUCAGAACUAUCAUAGGAGUGGAUAUUGAUCCAUACAGCUUUCUUAUUUGGGGGAACAGACUUUCCCAAGAAGGACCAUAUAUCCCAAACUGAAUUGGGAGUCAGGAGACCUGGGUUUUAGUCCUAGUUCUUUCAUCACAGUCAACAAGAGGUAGGGACUAGAAGAGCCUUGAUGCAGUUGCAUAACAAAAAAAAAAAAAGUUGUUAAAAGUUUUUAUCUGCAACUCUGGGAUUCUAUAGUUUUGUCACUUUCCCCAAGGAUGGCUGGAAAAGCUUAGGGGAAAAUUAGCCUCUCCCCUUAGGCUUUUUUUCAGGAGAGAUCUACAGCUAAGUGGAGGAGGCAAGAGAAUGGGGAUAGGGUAGAAGUCAGAUUUCGAGGGUGGAAUGUGGCCUUUAGCCUCCUUCAGCAUCUCUUCCCCAGCUUCCCAGGCACUGGUCUCUGCCCUGGGAGAGGGAUAUCCAGAAUCGAAGCCAACAGCUUUUGGAAACGUGAGUCCUCUUUAAUGGUUUCCUGCAUUCCUCUACCUACCCCCUCCUCCCCAGAGCAGAGCACCUAGACCCUUUCCCUCUUCCUUUUAUUCUCAGCACCAUCUUAAAGCCUUUUCUUAUACUCAGGGCUCCUCCCUGUCACCCUCACUUUCUCACACACAGAUGCCUUGAGGCCUCUAGGCCUCAGUUUCCUCAUCUGUAAAAUGAAGGGGUUGGACUCAAUGCUUUAGUCUCAUUUUGGAUUUUAAGCUUUCAUUCUCUUUAGAUUUGAUCUCAGUUCUUGCUUCUCCUUGUCCCACACUUCUGAGUGUGAAAAGAAGGGUGAAAGAAGGGAAGGCAUCCUUGUCCCAGGGACAGAUAAUCAGGGAUGGCAAAACCUGGAGACUGGGUGGUCAAUAUUGCCCUCCCCAUCCUCCCAUUUCAUUCCAUCUUUCCAAAAUCUCCCAUAAGGUCACCCAUAGUGUUCUGGUUUGACUAUAGAUGGCAGGCUGAAGGCGUUGCAGUGAUGCUGGGUGUAGCCAGUGUUGAAAGUGGUACAGAGCCAGAUCAGACAUUUGGGAGCCCUGGAAUGCCAGGAAGGGCAACAGUUGGGCCAGAGGUGGAGACAGGGACUUCACUCAAGGCUGAUACCUGGGAGCUAGAAGGUAUGCCUGAGAAAAGCCGGAGAGAACUGCCUGGGGAAGAAGAUCGAGGAUGCAGGCCAAGAAGUAGAGAGGAGUCUGCCAGAAUUCAGGGCCCCAGGGCCCCACCAGCCACCAUCAUGGAUUCUAUGUUCUCUAGGGCAGAGGACAAACUUGGCUCCAGAAAUUCUCAAGCCAGGGGAUCUGGAGUCCCUCCCUGAACUGGAAGACUUACAGAAGAGGGCUAACCCAAAGCAGGAAAGGACAGAAACUGAGCCACUAGUGGGGACAGAGACCCCAAGGGACCACAAUGGGGAAAGUCCUCAGAGUUGGAAGGGAGGCAUCUCACAGGUCCUGAGAAGAGAGUCCCCAAAGCAAAGGCCCCAGAUUCAGAACCAAAAUAUCCAGAGGGAAGGCACCCCAAGGAUUCAGGGAGAGGAGAUUCCCCAGUCUCAGACAGAAGAAACCCCAAAGCUACAAAGAGGGGAGAUUCUUUGGGCCCAGAGGAACGAGAGCCCAAGGGUUCAGGGAGAAGAGAUUCCCCAGCCCCAGAUAGAAGAGACCCCAAUGUUACAAAGAGAGGAGAGCUCUUGGGUCCAAAAGAAUGAGACCCCAAGGGUUUGGGGAGAGAUUACCCAGCCCCAGAUAGAAAACACUCCAAAGCUACAAAAAGGGAAGAUUCUCUGGGCCCAGAAGAAUGAGACUGUAAGUGUUCAAGAAGAGGAGAUUCUGUGGACCCAGAAAGAAGAGAUUACCCAGGCUCAAAGAGAUGAUACCCCCAAAACCCUAAGAAGGGACACUUCUCAGACCCAACAAGAGACCUCAAAAUUACAAAGAGAGAUUUCCCAACCUCAGAGGAAAGAGACCCCAAAGGGCCAGAGGGAGCUUUCAAAAGCCCACAAAAGGAAGACUCCCCAAAUCCCAAGAGAAGAGACUGCUCAGGCUCAUAGAGAGGAUAUCUACCUGGCCCAGCAUGAGAAAAUCCCACAGAUUCAAGAAAGGAAGAAACAGGUUGAUGGGCAGAUUUUUCAGUCUCAGGGAAGUCAAUUCUUACAUUCCCUGGAAGAAGAGAAUCUGCACCUCCAUGAAGGAGAGGACUCACAAUUCCAGAAAGAGAUUCCCAAAAUCUGGGGAAAGGAGACCCUUCAGUCACAGGGAAAGACUCUCUUUCCAUUUUAUAGAGAGGAGACUAAACAGUCCCCAAAAGAGAAUACCCCACUGUUCCAGAGAGGGGAGUACCCACAAUCUCGGGGAAAGGCAAUCCUGAAAUCCCAGAGAAAUAAGAUCCCACGGGGUCAAGGAAAGGAAAUUGCAUGCCCCUGGGGAAGAGAAACCCCACAUUUCCUGGGAAAGAGCACCCCAGAGCUCUGGAGCCAAGGGAGGCAGAGGGCUAGACCAGGAGGGCAGUGGCUCCCAAGUCAGGAAGUUAAACUCUUGAAGACCCCAGCACAGAGAAGACAAAGGGAACAAAAAGUAUUAAAUCUGGGGGCACUCAGGGUGCAGAGCCAGGAGGCCCUGGGAGCUGCUGUGAAACAGGAGGGACCAAGUCUAGGGGUGAGCAGACCAAAGGACAUGAAGGAUGCCUUGCUUCAGCCACCAUCCCUGUUGCCAAGUCACAGGACUGUAGAGCUUGAGCCACAUCACCCCAAUGCCCCCAGCAGAGAGCUGUUUUUCCUGGGUCUCACUCCAAGCCAGCAUGAGAAUAUGCUGAAAAGGCUUCUAGAGCUACAGGGGAAGGCUGGGAGAAGGCACCAGAGGGACCGAGAACAGCAAAGGCUUAGGGUAAGAAAGCCUGUCCAUCAUAUCAGGGGUGUGAGAUGCUAUGGAGGAAAAGUACUGGCCAAGAAUUUAGACCAGAGCAGAUGCCCUGUGGGUGACUGGGCCUUGGAGGCCAUCUCUUAGGACCUUAGCUUCUGGGAUAAUGCCCUCAUCCACCCUCAGGUCCAGGAGCUCCUGUGCAUCACCAGGAACCGGCGCUCAGGGGCAGACCCCCUGGAAUCCUCACCCACUACCACCCGACUCGGGAUGCAAGGAAGACUCUGGGGAGGGGAGGUAAGAGGACCCACAGGAAGGAAAGGAAAGGGAAGGAGGCAGGCCAAGAUCUCAACUCAUUCUUGGUGGCCAGCUUAAGGAAGGUGGCUAAUGGAGGGAGGAGUGCUCUGGUGCUGCUACCUGCACCUGGGUUUCCUUGUUUGACUCACCUGGGCCCUAACCCAUCAGGGCAAUGUGGGCCAACAGAGGCAUGCCUUGCUGCAGCAGCUGGAGCAGCAGCGCAAGGACAGGACAGAGUUACUUCGGGCCCAACGGGAGAGGAACACUCAAAAUUUCCAGGAGCUACUGCAUCCCCAAGGGGUUAAGGAGAACCCACUCCUCCCAGCUCUGUUCCAGCCCUCUUGGGGUCUAAGGAGAGACAGUGGGGAGAAAGGCAAUGGAAAGCUCCAUG